rnacentral:rRNA from 1 species
AUAUACGACCGUACCGCAAACCGACACUGGUGCGCGAGAUGAGUAUUCUAAGGCGCUUGAGAGAACUCAGGAGAAGGAACUCGGCAAAUUGACACCGUAACUUCGGAAGAAGGUGUGCCCUAUUAGAGUGUAGUGAACAACGAAGCAUGAAUGGGUUGCAAAAAAUCGGUGGCUGCGACUGUUUAUUAAAAACACAGCACUCUGCAAACACGAAAGUGGACGUAUAGGGUGUGACGCCUGCCCGGUGCUGGAAGAUUAAAUGAUGGGGUGCAAGCUCUUGAUUGAAGUCCCAGUAAACGGCGGCCGUAACUAUAACGGUCCUAAGGUAGCGAAAUUCCUUGUCGGGUAAGUUCCGACCUGCACGAAUGGCGUAACGAUGGCCACACCGUCUCCUCCUGAGACUCAGCGAAGUUGAAAUGUUUGUGAUGAUGCAAUCUCCCCGCGGAAAGACGGAAAGACCCCAUGAACCUUUACUGUAGCUUUGUAUUGGACUUUGAACAGAUCUGUGUAGGAUAGGUGGGAGGCUUUGAAGCAGGGUCGCUAGAUCUUGUGGAGCCAACGUUGAAAUACCACCCUGGUGUGUUUGAGGUUCUAACCUAGGUCCAUUAUCUGGAUCGGGGACAGUGCAUGGUAGGCAGUUUGACUGGGGCGGUCUCCUCCCAAAGCGUAACGGAGGAGUUCGAAGGUACGCUAGUUACGGUCGGACAUCGUGACGAUAGUGCAAUGGCAUAAGCGUGCUUAACUGCGAGACUGACAAGUCGAGCAGAUGCGAAAGCAGGACAUAGUGAUCCGGUGGUUCUGUAUGGAAGGGCCAUCGCUCAACGGAUAAAAGGUACUCUGGGGAUAACAGGCUGAUACCGCCCAAGAGUUCAUAUCGACGGCGGUGUUUGGCACCUCGAUGUCGGCUCAUCUCAUCCUGGGGCUGUAGCCGGUCCCAAGGGUAUGGCUGUUCGCCAUUUAAAGAGGUACGUGAGCUGGGUUUAAAACGUCGUGAGACAGUUUGGUCCCUAUCUUCCGUGGGCGCUGCAGAUUUGAGGAAGCCUGCUCCUAGUACGAGAGGACCGGAGUGGACACACCUCUGGUGUAUCGGUUGUCACGCCAGUGGCAUUGCCGAGUAGCUAAGUGUGGAAGAGAUAACCGCUGAAAGCAUCUAAGCGGGAAACUCGUUUCAAGAUGAGAUCUGCCGGGGCCUUGAGCCCCCUAAAGAGUCGUUCAAGACCAGGACGUUGAUAGGUCAGGUGUGGAAGUG